rnacentral:rRNA from 1 species
UACGGGGGGAGCAAGCGUUGUUCGGAUUUACUGGGCGUAAAGAGCUCGUAGGCGGUUCGGUAAGUCGGGUGUGAAAACUCUGGGCUCAACCCAGAGAGGCCACCCGAUACUGCUGUGACUAGAGUGCGGUAGGGGAGCGGGGAAUUCCUGGUGUAGCGGUGAAAUGCGCAGAUAUCAGGAGGAACACCAGCGGCGAAGGCGCCGCUCUGGGCCGUAACUGACGCUGAGGAGCGAAAGCAUGGGUAGCAAACAGG